rnacentral:rRNA from 1 species
AUUGAACGCUGGCGGCAUGCCUUACACAUGCAAGUCGAACGGUAACAGGUUAAGCUGACGAGUGGCGAACGGGUGAGUAAUGUAUCGGAACGUGCCCAGUCGUGGGGGAUAACUACUCGAAAGAGUGGCUAAUACCGCAUACGUCCUGAGGGUGAAAGCGGGGGACCGUAAGGCCUCGCGCGAUUGGAGCGGCCGAUAUCAGAUUAGCUAGUUGGUGGGGUAAAAGCCCACCAAGGCGACGAUCUGUAGCUGGUCUGAGAGGACGACCAGCCACACGGGGACUGAGACACGGCCCAGACUCCUACGGGAGGCAGCAGUGGGGAAUUUUGGACAAUGGACGCAAGUCUGAUCCAGCCAUGCCGCGUGCGGGAAGAAGGCCUUCGGGUUGUAAACCGCUUUUGUCAGGGAAGAAACGAGUUUCUCUAAUACAGAGACUUAAUGACGGUACCUGAAGAAUAAGCACCGGCUAACUACGUGCCAGCCGCCGCGGUAAAAC